rnacentral:rRNA from 1 species
CCUACGGGAGGCAGCAGUGGGGAAUAUUGCACAAUGGGGGAAACCCUGAUGCAGCAACGCCGCGUGAGUGAAGAAGUAUUUCGGUAUGUAAAGCUCUAUCAGCAGGGAAGAGGAUGACGGUAUCUGUCUAAGAAGCCCCGGCUAACUACGUGCCAGCAGCCGCGGUAAUACGGAGGGGGCGAGCGUUAUCCGGAUUUACUGGGUGAAAGGGGAACGUAGACGGUUGUGCAAGUCUGAAGUGAAAGCCCGUGGCUUAACCGCGGAACGGCUUUGGAUACUGGGGAACUGGAGUGCUGGAGAGGGGAGCAGAAUUCCUAGUGUAGCGGUGAAAUGCGUAGAUAUGAGGAGGAACACCAGGGGCGAAGGCGGCUUGCUGGACAGUAACUGACGUUGAGGCUCGAAAGCGUGGGGAGCAAACAGGAUUAGAUACCCGAGUAGUC